GCCGCGAUAGCUCAGUUGGUAGAGCGCACCCAUGGUAAGGGUGAGGUCCCGGGUUCAAUUCCCGGUCGUGGCUCCA
rnacentral:tRNA from 1 species